GAAAACGACUGCUAAGACUGGAUAGGAAAUUAAGAGGCAUCUUUUAAUUUUUAAAAGACCUUUUUCGAAAGGUAUGCUUAAAGAGGGGCUUGCGCCACAUUAGUUAGUUGGUAAGGUAAAGGCUUACCAAGACGAUGAUGUGUAGCUGGACUGAGAGGUUGAACAGCCACAUUGGGACUGAGACACGGCCCAAACUCCUACGGGAGGCAGCAGUAAGGAAUUUUUGGCAAUGGAGGAAACUCUGACCGAGCGACGCCGCGUGAACAAUGAAGUACUUCGGUAUGUAAAGUUCUUUUAUUGAAAAAGAAAAAAUAGUGGAAAAACUAUCUUGACAUUAUUCAAUGAAUAAGCCCCGGCUAAUUAUGUGCCAGCAGCCGCGGUAAUACAUAAGGGGCGAGCGUUAUCCGGAAUUAUUGGGCGUAAAGGGUGCGUAGGCGGUUUGAUAAGUCUAUAGUUUAAAUGCAGCGCUUAACGCUGUAGCGCUAUAGAAACUGUCUGACUAGAGUUAGAUAGAGGCAAGCGGAAUUCCAUGUGUAGCGGUAAAAUGCGUAAAUAUAUGGAGGAACACCAGAGGCGUAGGCGGCUUGCUGGGUCUUAACUGACGCUGAGGCACGAAAGCGUGGGGAGCAAACAGGAUUAGAUACCCUGGUAGUCCACGCCGUAAACGAUGAGUACUAAGUGUCGGGUUUCGGCUCGGUACUGAAGUUAACACAUUAAGUACUCCGCCUGAGUAGUACGUACGCAAGUAUGAAACUUAAAGGAAUUGACGGGACCCCGCACAAGCGGUGGAUCAUGUUGUUUAAUUCGAAGAUACACGAAAAACCUUACCAGGUCUUGACAUAAUUUUGCGACAUUAUAGAAAUAUAAUGAAGGUUAUCAGAAUUACAGGUGGUGCAUGGUUGUCGUCAGCUCGUGUCGUGAGAUGUUAGGUUAAGUCCUAAAACGAGCGCAACCCUUGUCGUUAGUUGCGACCACGUAAUGGUGAGCACUUUAGCGAGACUGCCAAUGAAAAAUUGGAGGAAGGUGAGGAUUACGUCAAAUCAUCAUGCCCCUUAUGAUCUGGGCUACAAACGUGAUACAAUGGCUGUUACAAAGAGUAGCUACAACGUGAGUUUUUAGCCAAUCUCAAAAAAACAGUCUCAGUUCGGAUUGAAGUCUGCAACUCGACUUCAUGAAGUUGGAAUCGCUAGUAAUCGCGAAUCAGCAUGUCGCGGUGAAUACGUUCACGGGGUUUGUACACACCGCCCGUCAA
rnacentral:rRNA from 1 species